GUGGGGAAUCUUGCGCAAUGGGCGAAAGCCUGACGCAGCCAUGCCGCGUGAAUGAUGAAGGUCUUAGGAUUGUAAAAUUCUUUCACCGGGGACGAUAAUGACGGUACCCGGAGAAGAAGCUCCGGCUAACUUCGUGCCAGCAGCCGCGGUAAUACGAAGGGGGCUAGCGUUGCUCGGAAUUACUGGGCGUAAAGGGCGCGUAGGCGGACAGCUUAGUCAGAGGUGAAAGCCCAGGGCUCAACCUUGGAAUUGCCUUUGAUACUGGCUGUCUUGAGUUUGGGAGAGGUGAGUGGAACUCCGAGUGUAGAGGUGAAAUUCGUAGAUAUUAGGAAGAACACCAGUGGCGAAGGCGCCUUACUGGCGCGGUACUGACGCUGAGGUACGAAAGCGUGGGGAGCAAACAGGAUUAGAUACCCGUGUAGUCC
rnacentral:rRNA from 1 species